CGAAAGUACUCGAUCCCAUCAUCUCUAGGGUUUGCCUUCUCUGAAAGGAGAUAGGGGGGAUGAAGUGGAGAACACCAACUCGAUUCUUUGGCCCAGCACUCAAUCACGUGGACAGGCAAGUAGGAUCAAUAGAAAUGAAGGAGGGUCAAGACUUGGAGUACGCACUAGCAAGCUUGGCAAUUAUGUAACAGAGCUUUAGAUCUUUAGUUGGUCAUGGAUUUGUAGCUUAAUAAAUUUUUUAAGAGAUGUGAGUUAUGGGUUGGAUAUUUAUAUUUGGAUGUAGAUGCUGUGAACUGAUGUCUUACUUUGUUAUGUAAUGGAUGACGAAGUUGGAUUUCUAUUUAUUAUAUUUUGUUUGAUAUAGAAAUGGAAGCUAAAAGAAAUGUUUGGCUUCGUGUUA